GUCAGUCCCUUCGAAGCCCAGUUGCCGUGGAAACCGCGUGGGGCGCCUUCUUUAGUUCUUCAGUUGAGGGUACCCGGGGAUCAAGGGCUCGGGGGCUCACUUCCACCUUGAAGCCAUUCCUUCUAUUUGGAGAGGGAAAUACUUCAGCUCCGGGAAUGAGCCUGCAGAAAACCCGGUGACGCCAAUGCUGCGGCAUCUUAUUUACAAAAUAAAGUCUACUGGUCCCAUCACUGUGGCCGAGUACAUGAAGGAGGUGUUGACUAAUCCAGCCAAGGGUUAUUAUGUGUACCGUGACAUGCUAGGCGAAAAAGGAGAUUUCAUUACUUCACCUGAAAUAAGUCAAAUCUUUGGGGAGCUACUAGGGAUAUGGUUCAUUAGUGAAUGGAUGGCCACUGGAAAAAGCACAGCUUUCCAGCUGGUGGAACUGGGCCCAGGUAGGGGAACCCUCGUGGGAGAUAUUUUGAGGGUGUUCACUCAACUUGGAUCUGUGCUGAAAAAUUGUGACAUUUCAGUACAUCUGGUAGAGGUAAGCCAAAAAUUAAGUGAGAUUCAAGCAUUGACACUGACUGAAGAGAAGGUCCCGUUAGAGCGAAAUGCUGGAUCCCCAGUGUAUAUGAAAGGUGUCACUAAGUCUGGGAUUCCAGUUUCCUGGUACCGAGAUCUGCAAGAUGUUCCAAAAGGUAAUUACCUUAAUGUGGAUUAAUGAAAGAAUUUUGAUCACAACCCUCACAGUAUUGAUGGGACUGUAACGUUUUACAGCAAUGUAAUAGAUUGAGUUACUGCUGCCAAGUCCCUUAUCCAUAGAGAGUAGCCUACUUUUUUCUAGAAAAGAGCAUCAUAAUAGA
rnacentral:sRNA from 1 species